rnacentral:rRNA from 1 species
AUGAACGCUAGCUACAGGCUUAACACAUGCAAGUCGAGGGGCAGCAUGGUCUUAGCUUGCUAAGACUGAUGGCGACCGGCGCACGGGUGAGUAACACGUAUCCAACCUGCCGUCUACUCUUGGACAGCCUUCUGAAAGGAAGAUUAAUACAAGAUGGCAUCAUGAGUCCGCAUGUUCACAUGAUUAAAGGUAUUCCGGUAGACGAUGGGGAUGCGUUCCAUUAGAUAGUAGGCGGGGUAACGGCCCACCUAGUCUUCGAUGGAUAGGGGUUCUGAGAGGAAGGUCCCCCACAUUGGAACUGAGACACGGUCCAAACUCCUACGGGAGGCAGCAGUGAGGAAUAUUGGUCAAUGGGCGAGAGCCUGAACCAGCCAAGUAGCGUGAAGGAUGACUGCCCUAUGGGUUGUAAACUUCUUUUAUAAAGGAAUAAAGUCGGGUAUGCAUACCCGUUUGCAUGUACUUUAUGAAUAAGGAUCGGCUAACUCCGUGCCAGCAGCCGCGGUAAUACGGAGGAUCCGAGCGUUAUCCGGAUUUAUUGGGUUUAAAGGGAGCGUAGAUGGAUGUUUAAGUCAGUUGUGAAAGUUUGCGGCUCAACCGUAAAAUUGCAGUUGAUACUGGAUAUCUUGAGUGCAGUUGAGGCAGGCGGAAUUCGUGGUGUAGCGGUGAAAUGCUUAGAUAUCACGAAGAACUCCGAUUGCGAAGGCAGCCUGCUAAGCUGCAACUGACAUUGAGGCUCGAAAGUGUGGGUAUCAAACAGGAUUAGAUACCCUGGUAGUCCACACGGUAAACGAUGAAUACUCGCUGUUUGCGAUAUACGGCAAGCGGCCAAGCGAAAGCGUUAAGUAUUCCACCUGGGGAGUACGCCGGCAACGGUGAAACUCAAAGGAAUUGACGGGGGCCCGCACAAGCGGAGGAACAUGUGGUUUAAUUCGAUGAUACGCGAGGAACCUUACCCGGGCUUAAAUUGCAGAUGAAUUACGGUGAAAGCCGUAAGCCGCAAGGCAUCUGUGAAGGUGCUGCAUGGUUGUCGUCAGCUCGUGUCGUGAGAUGUUGGGUUAAGUCCCGCAACGAGCGCAACCCCUGUACUUAGUUGCCAGCAUGUAAAGAUGGGAACUCUAAGAAGACUGCCGUAGACAAUACGGAGGAAGGUGGGGAUGACGUCAAAUCAUCAUGCCCUAUAUGUCCUGGGCUACACACGUACUACAAUGGGUGUAACAGAGGGAAGCAAGAUAGCGAUAUGGAGCGAAACCCAAAAAGCACCCCCAGUUCGGAUUGAAGGCUGAAAUUCGCCUUCAUGAAGCCGGAAUUGCUAGUAAUGGCAGGUCAGCAUACUGCCGUGAAUACGUUCCCGGGCCUUGUACACACCGCCCGUCACACCAUGAGAGUCGGGAAUACCCGAAGCCUGUGAGCCAACAUAUUUAUAUGAGGCAGCAGUCGAAGGUAGAAUCGAUGAUUGGGGUG